rnacentral:rRNA from 1 species
AGUGAACGCUGGCGGUAGGCCUAACACAUGCAAGUCGAACGGCGGCACAGGAGAGCUUGCUCUCUGGGUGGCGAGUGGCGGACGGGUGAGGAAUACAUCGGAAUCUACCUUUUCGUGGGGGAUAACGUAGGGAAACUUACGCUAAUACCGCAUACGACCUUCGGGUGAAAGCCGGGGACCUUCGGGCCUGGCGCGGAUAGAUGAGCCGAUGUCGGAUUAGCUAGUUGGCGGGGUAAAGGCCCACCAAGGCGACGAUCCGUAGCUGGUCUGAGAGGAUGAUCAGCCACACUGGAACUGAGACACGGUCCAGACUCCUACGGGAGGCAGCAGUGGGGAAUAUUGGACAAUGGGCGCAAGCCUGAUCCAGCCAUACCGCGUGGGUGAAGAAGGCCUUCGGGUUGUAAAGCCCUUUUGUUGGGAAAGAAAUCCUGUCGGUUAAUACCCGGUAGGGAUGACGGUACCCAAAGAAUAAGCACCGGCUAACUUCGUGCCAGCCGCCGCCGUAACAC